CAGCAGAUCUGCUGUUGUCUCCUGGUCACCUCCCACAUGCCAUGAAAAUGUGAUUUAGUGACUACAUAAUACACAUAGGUCUGUCUGGCCAUAUAUUGCUGUGUCGAUACUGCUGAAGGGAUAGUGGGAGCAAACUGAACAAGAACAAAGCUGAACAGGAUCAGUGCUACAGCCUGAGAGCCUCAGCGAAUACCUAGAAAGUCUCCCUCCUCAAGCAGUGGACUUCAGGAGGAGAGAAAGUGGGGAUAUUUCUGCCGUCUCGCACCCUGUUGCGGAUGAGUGACUUAGGAUUACUCAAAGAAUCACAGUCAAAGGUAUCUAGCAAAGGUAGUUUUAAUAUGAAUUUGUAAAGGCAUGACUUAACAAAGGUCAUUCAAUUACUUACUACAUGGACAAAACAUACAAAGGAAAAUAGAGUUAAAUCAGGCUAGGACGAUUUACACAGAGACUGGAGAUGCAAGAGGGUAAGAGAGCCCCUCCCAUUGAGUCAUGAGCUUCAGAGAGGACCCUCUUGCUUUGUAAACUUCUGAUGAGCUUAGGUGCAGCUAGGUCCAAUCUUAGCCUCAGACUUGGACAAUGGUUUAUGUCUAAUGGAAUAAGCUACGUGUAUUUCAUUAGUAUUAAUUCAGCAUGCUAUCAGUCACUUGCAAGAAUCUGUUGUGAGAGGUUCCUCCUUGGGUAAGGAAGGAUCUCUUGGUCUCAGGCAAGGAAUCUCAAACCUUGAGGUGUCCCAGCUCAAGGGGAGUCACGGGUGGGCAGUCCGGUUGCAACUUGGAAAGAAUGCGAAUUGAACUCGGUAAUGACAGACCUUUGGGUAGAAGGUCUCUGUCUUGAUGAGUGAACUUGAGGGGUGUUCCAGCAAAAGGGGAGGUCAGCGCCAUGCGUGCAGCCAUGCUGCCAGGCAGGGAGAGCUCAAAGGCAGCUCGCUUAGGCUGUCAUAUUUACGUGAUAAAGUGGUUGGCUCCUACUCCAACUGCAUGCAAUGGGAAAGGUAUGCAUGAGACUUCUUGUACCCACAACUUUCUUUGUUCCUUGAUAAAUGAAUCUUGGAAAAACACACUGCUACUCAUGUGUUAAUUGCAUGAUCCCUGUUCCAAGCUCACAUACAUCGAUGUCUCACUGCCCUUUUGUGGGUUUCCUAGAGGAGUUCUUGGCCUGGCUGUGGCUCAGGCUGUUACCUCCUUUGCAGUCUGUACCAAACUACCGCUAGUUUGGUUAAGGUGUCAAGUGCCCAUCACAUGCCUGUGGCGUGGUUCUGCCUGAACGUGCCUUGUCUGUAUCUUCUCAAGUAUCAAAAGAACCAGGGUGAAACUCUGGUCAUACUGAAGCUGAAGGAAGUUCUGCAUCCAUUCAGAACUACAAGAAAUGUGUUAGACAGUCAAAGAUUACUUUUGCUAACUCCAAAAU